rnacentral:rRNA from 1 species
AUUGAACGCUGGCGGCAGGCUUAACACAUGCAAGUCGAACGAGUGGCGGAAGGGAGAGUAAUGCAUGGGAAUCUAGCUUAUGGAGGGGGAUAAGUACGGGAAACUGUAGCUAAUACCGCGUACAAUAGGAUAAGCCCCAGUGGGAUUAGGUAGUUGGUGAGGUAAAGGUUCACCAAGCUGACGAUCUUUAGCGGGUCUGAGAGGCGGACCAUCCACACUGGGACUGAGACACGGCCCAGACUCCUACGGGAGGCAGCGGUGGGGAAUAUUGCGCAAUGGGGGCAACCUGACGCAGCCAUGCCGCGUGAAGGAAGAAGGCCUUCGGGUUGUAAAGUUCUUUCGGUAGCGAGGCGUUAACUACAGAAGAAGCACCGGCUAACUCCGUGCCAGCCGCCGCGGUAAUUC